CUACGUGCCAGCAGCCGCGGUAAUACAUAGGUGGCAAGCGUUGUCCGGAAUUAUUGGGCGUAAAGCGCGCGCAGGCGGAUUGGUCAGUCUGUCUUAAAAGUUCGGGGCUUAACCCCGUGAUGGGAUGGAAACUGCCAAUCUAGAGUAUCGGAGAGGAAAGUGGAAUUCCUAGUGUAGCGGUGAAAUGCGUAGAUAUUAGGAAGAACACCAGUGGCGAAGGCGACUUUCUGGACGAAAACUGACGCUGAGGCGCGAAAGCCAGGGGAGCGAACGGGAUUAGAUACCCCGGUAGUCCUGGCCGUAAACGAUGGGUACUAGGUGUAGGAGGUAUCGACCCCUUCUGUGCCGGAGUUAACGCAAUAAGUACCCCGCCUGGGGAGUACGACCGCAAGGUUGAAACUCAAAGGAAUUGACGGGGGCCCGCACAAGCGGUGGAGUAUGUGGUUUAAUUCGACGCAACGCGAAGAACCUUACCAGGUCU
rnacentral:rRNA from 1 species